rnacentral:tRNA from 1 species
UCUAAAAUUAAUUGAAGCCAAAAAGAGGCAUAUUAUUGUUAAUAAUACUAGUGAACAUUAAAUUCCAAUUAAG